rnacentral:snRNA from 1 species
AUUGUUUCUCAGCCUUUUGGCUAAGAUCAAGUGUAGUGUCUGUUCUUAUCAGUUUAAUAUCUUAUAUUUCCACUAUCUAAGUAUAAUAUAUUAAAUGUAUUUUGGGACAGUGAGAUGGAAUAAGAGCUGCUUCAUCCACUCCCUGCUUUGACCCGGUUUUACAGUAUUUCCAGGAACAGUGCACCAGAA